rnacentral:rRNA from 1 species
GACGAACGCUGGCGGCGUGCUUAACACAUGCAAGUCGAACGGAAAGGCCCUGCUUUUGUGGGGUGCUCGAGUGGCGAACGGGUGAGUAACACGUGAGUAACCUGCCCUUGACUUUGGGAUAACUUCAGGAAACUGGGGCUAAUACCGGAUAGGAGCUCCUGCUGCAUGGUGGGGGUUGGAAAGUUUCGGCGGUUGGGGAUGGACUCGCGGCUUAUCAGCUUGUUGGUGGGGUAGUGGCUUACCAAGGCUUUGACGGGUAGCCGGCCUGAGAGGGUGACCGGCCACAUUGGGACGGAGAUACGGCCCAGACUCCUACGGGAGGCAGCAGUGGAGAAUAUUGCACAAUGGGCGGAAGCCUGAUGCAGCAACGCCGCGUGCGGGAUGACGGCAUUCGGGUUGUAAACCGCUUUCGCCUGUGACGAAGCGUGAGUGACGGUAAUGGGUAAAGAAGCACCGGCUAACUACGUG